UUCUUAUCAAUGGGCCACUCUGAAGAAUUCCUUCGAUGGUACGGCUCGAUCGUCGAAUAUCAAAUUUGCAUCUAGCAUGGCUGGAUAGAAAUUGCCCUAAAAGAGUUUCGAUAAGCGUUGGAACAAACGACGGUGGGUCCGGAUGCGCGUAAGCAAAACGACUUGUAAUGUUUAUCGUAAUGGCAGUGCCAUCAGCAGAGAGAAUGUCGAAAAGCAAAACUGCGGUGGAGACGGCACGAGCGGAGUGGGAUGCUUGAUUGCCGACGCUGCUUUAAAAAUGCCCUCUACUAUGACGAGGAAGGAGAUCGUCCGUAUUCGUAAUGAUGAUUAACUCACUGCCGAGAAACAUAAUUGGAGGAGGAUGGGCAUGGGCAAGGGCAAGGGCAAGGGCAAGGGCACUCAGAUGUUUUGCCUCGGUGGGGGCGCCUGCCAAUGAGAGGUGUGGAGAGUGGUAUGAGGAGUACCGGAAAUCUUUACAUGGAGGGCUUACUCACAAGGCUCUCUUGGUGGACGCUGUUGGGACUCUUGUCAUCCCCUCCCAGCCAGCUGCACAGAUAUAUAGGGACAUUGGUGCGAAAUAUGGCGUGAAUUACUCAGAGGACGAAAUUCUGAGGCGGUACCGGUGGGCUUAUCAGCAACCAUGGGUGAAUUCCCGCCUACGAUUCAUGGACGAUGGGAGACCUUUUUGGCAGUUUGUUGUACAAAGUGCUACAGGUUGUGUAGAUCCCCAAUAUUUUGAGGAGGUUUAUGAGUAUUAUGCGACAGAGAAGGCCUGGCACCUCUGCGACCCAGAUGCAGGUAAAGUGUUUGAAGCACUUAAAAGAGCAGGAGUAAAGUUGGCAGUAGUUUCGAACUUUGAUACUCGCCUAAGGCCUGUAUUACAGUCUCUUAGGUGUGAACACUGGUUUGAUGCAUUAGUUGUAUCAGCUGAGGUAGGAGCAGAGAAGCCCAAUCCUACAAUAUUUUUGAAGGCAUGUGAAUUGCUUGGGGUAAAUCCAGAAGAUGCAGUUCAUGUUGGAGAUGAUCGUCGCAAUGACAUUUGGGGUGCCAGAGAUGCUGGUUGCGAUGCUUGGCUUUGGGGUGCAGAUGUACACACUUUUAAGGAGGUUGCCAACAGGAUUGGUGUGGAACUCUGACUGCAAGGGGACUAUCUUUCUUUUCCAAUUCAAAUAUGGAUGGUGCGGCAGAGCACAUUCAAUAUCCAAUGGAGUACACCUUCUUAGCUAUAACUACAAUUGGCAGGGAGUGGAGCUUUGCAGGAAUACCGUUGCUUGUGAUUAGUCUUUAUCUAUGGAGCUCCAUUAUGGGCACGGCACUUAUCGUAAAGGAAGACAUAGUUUUUUCAAGCAUGCUUUGUUAAAAGGAAUGCCAUCUGUUUCUAUGAAGUAUGUGGAAGCAUGUUUGAUCUCUUUAGACAUCAAACCUUCUAUGUUGGUUUAACUUGUAAAAAGGCAGAAGCAAGAAAGAGGAUGAUUUGGUCAAAAGUUUGCAAUUUUCUUUCUAUUUACUUUAGAUUAGAUGAAAAAUACCGAAUGAAUCUAUAAUGCAUAUAAAUUUGCAUUAACAUUCAACUGUUCUUUUAAUGCAGAUUAUAGAAAUAUGUAUCAUAUGAAUAAAUAAAAAAUGUGUACCAAAUUGUUCCAUGAAAAUGAGAUACUUUGUCUGAUACAAACCUUCUGAUUGUAGUCAGAACAAUUCACCAGGAA